AACGAACGCUGGCGGCAUGCCUAACACAUGCAAGUCGAACGUGAUCCAGGCUUCGGCCUGGUGAAAGUGGCAGACGGGCGAGUAACGCGUGGGAACCUGCCCUGUGGUAGGGAAUAACCGUGGGAAACUGCGGCUAAUACCCUAUGAGUCCUUCGGGAGAAAGAUUUAUCGCCAUAGGAGGGGCCCGCGUCGGAUUAGGUAGUUGGUGGGGUAACGGCCUACCAAGCCUUCGAUCCAUAGCUGGUCUGAGAGGAUGAUCAGCCACACUGGGACUGAGAUACGGCCCAGACUCCUACGGGAGGCAGCAGUGGGGAAUAUUGGACAAUGGGGGCAACCCUGAUCCAGCAAUGCCGCGUGGAUGAUGAAGGCCUUCGGGUUGUAAAGUCCUUUCGGCGGGGAAGAUGAUGACGGUACCCGCAGAAGAAGCCC
rnacentral:rRNA from 1 species